GGUUCGAUCAUGGCUCAGAUUGAACGCUGGCGGGAUGCUUUACACAUGCAAGUCGAACGGCAGCACGGACUUCGGUCUGGUGGCGAGUGGCGAACGGGUGAGUAAUGUAUCGGAACGUGCCUAGUAGCGGGGAUAACUACGCGAAAGCGUAGCUAAUACCGCAUACGCCCUUCGGGGGAAAGCGGGGACCUUCGGGCCUCGCACUAUUAGAGCGGCCGAUAUCGGAUUAGCUAGUUAGUGGGAGUAACGGCUCACCAAGGCGACGAUCGUAGCUGGUUUGAGGAGGACGACCAGCCACACUGGGACUAAGACGGCAGACUCCUACGGGAGACAGCAGUGGGGAAUUUUGGACAAUGGAAACCCUGAUCCAGCCAUCCCGCGUGUGCGAUGAAGGCCUUCCGUUGUAAAGCACUUUUAGCGGGAAAGAAACGGCACGGGAUAAUACCCCGUGCAACUGACGGUACCUGCAGAAUAAGCACCGGCUAACUACGUGCCAGCAGCCGCGGUAAUACGUAGGGUGCAAGCGUUAAUCGGAAUUACUGGGCAUAAAGCGUGCGCAGGCGGUUCCGGAAGAGGAUGUGAAAUCCCAGAGCUUAACUUUGGAACUGCAUUUUUAACUACCGAGCUAGAGUGUGUCAGAGGGAGGGUGGAAUUCCGCGUGUAGCAGUGAAAUGCGUAGAUAUGCGGAGGAACACCGAUGGCGAAGGCAGCCUCCUGGGAUAACACUGACGCUCAUGCACGAAAGCGUGGGAGCAAACAGGAUUAGAUACCCUGGUGAUCCACGCCCUAAACGAUGUCAACUAGCUGUUGGGGCCUUCGGGCCUUGGUAGCGCAGCUAACGCGUGAAGUUGACCGCCUGGGGAGUACGGUCGCAGAUUAAAACUCAAAGGAAUUGACGAGGGGACCCGCACAAGCGGUGGAUGAUGUGGAUUAAUUCGAUGCAACGCGAAAAACCUUACCUACCCUUGACAUGUCUGGAAUCCCGAAGAGAUUUGGGAGUGCUCGCAAAGAGAACCGGAACACAGGUGCUGCAUGGCUGUCGUCAGCUCGUGUCGUGAGAUGUUGGGUUAAGUCCGCAACGAGCGCAACCCUUGUCAUUAGUUGCUACGAAGAACUCUAAUGAGACUGCCGGUGACAAACCGGAGGAAGGUGGGGAUGACGUCAAGUCCUCAUGGCCCUUAUGGGUAGGGCUUCACACGUCAUACAAUGGUCGGGACAGAGGGUCGCCAACCCGCGAGGGGAGCCAAUCCCAGAAACCCGAUCGUAGUCCGGAUCAUGAUCUGCAACUCGACUGCGUGAAGUCGGAAUCGCUAGUAAUCGCGGAUCAGCAUGUCGGUGAAUACGUUCCCGGGUCUUGUACACACCGCCCGUCACACCAUGGGAGUGGGUUUUACCAGAAGUAGUUAGCCUAACCGUAAGGAGGGCGAUUACCACGGUAGGAUUCAUGACUGGGGUGAAGUCGUAACAAGGUAG
rnacentral:rRNA from 1 species